rnacentral:snRNA from 1 species
GCCCGGUCGUACUCAUAAC